AACGAACGCUGGCGGCAUGCCUAACACAUGCAAGUCGAACGAGACCUUCGGGUCUAGUGGCGCACGGGUGCGUAACGCGUGGGAAUCUGCCCUUGGGUUCGGAAUAACAGUUGGAAACGACUGCUAAUACCGGAUGAUGACGUAAGUCCAAAGAUUUAUCGCCCAAGGAUGAGCCCGCGUAGGAUUAGCUAGUUGGUGAGGUAAAGGCUCACCAAGGCGACGAUCCUUAGCUGGUCUGAGAGGAUGAUCAGCCACACUGGGACUGAGACACGGCCCAGACUCCUACGGGAGGCAGCAGUGGGGAAUAUUGGACAAUGGGCGAAAGCCUGAUCCAGCAAUGCCGCGUGAGUGAUGAAGGCCUUAGGGUUGUAAAGCUCUUUUACCCGGGAUGAUAAUGACAGUACCGUGAGAAUAAGCUCCGGCUAACUCCGUG
rnacentral:rRNA from 1 species